GUAACCUGCCCUAGACAGGGGGAUAACUGCUGGAAACGGCAGCUAAGACCGCAUAGGUAUGGACACUGCAUGGUGACCAUAUUAAAAGUGCCAAGGCACUGGUAGAGGAUGGACUUAUGGCGCAUUAGCUGGUUGGUGAGGUAACGGCUCACCAAGGCGACGAUGCGUAGCCGACCUGAGAGGGUGACCGGCCACACUGGGACUGAGACACGGCCCAGACUCCUACGGGAGGCAGCAUG
rnacentral:rRNA from 1 species